UACGUAGGCAGCGAGCGUUGUUCGGAGUUACUGGGCGUAAAGCGUGCGUAGGCGGUGGUCCAAGUCUGGUGUGAAAUCUCCCGGCUUAACUGGGAGGGUGCGCCGGAAACUGGGCCGCUGGAGUACGGGAGAGGCAAGCGGAAUUCCAGGUGUAGCGGUGAAAUGCGUAGAUAUCUGGAGGAACACCCGUGGUGCAGACGGCUUGCUGGACCGGUAUUGACGCUGAGGCGCGAAAGCUAGGGGAGCAAACGGG
rnacentral:rRNA from 1 species